UAUCAUUUCAGGAUACUGCAGUUCUAGGAACGCUUACGUUCAAUGUAACUGAAACGUUAACACAGCAGCUAUGAUUUACCGUAAGUCAGGAAUAUCAAGACAAAUAUUUCUGCUUCAUUGCACCAUUUCGUUUGUGGACAACUAGGUUGCAGCCUACAGGACAUGUAAUGGUAUGUAAGUACAAUGGGGACAAUGAUUUCUAUCAGACCACUCGAAUAUAAAGGAACUUGCACAUGACAGAAAAUUCCGAUCACGAUGAAACUACAAUAGCGUGUUUGGAUGUGCUAGUAAUCAUGAUAUCACGGCUAUCAAUUUCAGCAUAUAAAAGUUAUCGGCAUUGUGUCAACCUGCUCCUGUGGCCAACCAGCCUCGGUCUCACCUCCACAGAUGAAAUCGUACACCUACUGAGGACGUUUUGGGAUGACUUAGUGAUGUUUCCUGUUGAGACCAUUUCCAGAGUAUUAGUGAAUUCUUUCGGCCAUACACCUUGAGAAAACUUGACAAGACAGCAGGCUAAGGAUAGAGUAUGGAUUGUCAGUGUUAUGACAGAUGACGUCUGAACAUUGAAACAGAGUUUGUUUAUAAAACUUCUUGUAGAAAAGCAUAUAGGUAAGGAAACUAAAGAAAAAUUCCAUUAACAUUUAAAGCAUCUGUAGAACUCUACUAUUCUAAGUAUAAACUUAGAAGGUUUUCAUCUAGAACUCAAGGCUUCUUGUCUACAACAACUGCAGCCUAAAAACUAGCUGGGAUCAAUACACUCCAGUGGCAGCCCAUUAAUCACAAGGCUGCAGUGCUACCAUCUUCAGGAAGUGGAAAGAAGAUAAAGUUUUUACUUUGCUUGACACUACUGAAACCUAGACCAACGAUGUUGGAUCUAGAAAAGAAAGGAAAAAGAGAGUCGUAAAAGAAACAACAUCGUUAUUUUUGCUUUCAGUUUCUGUGGACUUUAUGCUCUAUUCUCGAGGCGUAGUGGUCUGUUAACAGUCGCAAAGAUUGUCACUCACAAGCUGCAUAAAGUAUAAACAGGCUAUUUUCUCAUGUUAUAAACAACAGCUUUACCACCGUUUAGAUUUUUUCAUAACCUCUGUCAUAAAUAAAUUACAAAACAAUCAAGCUGACGAAAACAUUCUAUGAGAAUAAGAUCAAACAAUAGCUACAAGCAAAGUAAAACUGGCAAGCGUUACCAAUUCCACUAACUUUGCAUGAAGGCAAAGGAUUUUAACAUAUUUGCAAUCUUGAAAUGAUGUUUGAUUCUAAAAAUUCGGAUUACGUACCGAGCCUUUAUAAUAUUUUAAAUGAAUUCUAACAACAUACUUAGAUCAUAUUCUGUCAUUAUGAUUACGUACCGAGCCUUUAUAAUAUUUUAAAUGAAUUCUAACAACAUACUUAGAUCAUAUUCUGUCAUUUAAAUCCUUCCGCUAGAAAACAUUUGGUGUUUCAGAAUUUGCAUCUUCGCCAAAACCUUUAGUUCUCAGUACAGAAAGAUAGAAUUGUGUAGUAUUCAUCGUUAACAAAUCGUGGCGUAGCAAUAAAUUUUAUUGAGUUAUGAUAAAUGCUAAUUUUUGUUCAAACAUAUCGACUAUGCAUCUUUCAUGAAACGUACCAUAAAUUAAAUACUGUUUUCUGUAUAGAGUUCAUAAACUAUUCGUGGCAUCUUAUUUUUUAAAGCUCGUUUGAGUAGUUCGUGAUUACGUUGUUGAAGUAUCAUUUGAUAUGUAUGCCCAAAACUGCAGAACUACAAAAACCUGGUUCCAGCUAUAAUAAGACUGCCUAAAUAUAACAAUACCUCUUUGAUCCACAAAGAAAUGUGCUCAUUUUCUGCACUUCUAAUGAGAUAUAUUUAAAAUAACAGACUUUCUCGAGUAUUGUACUCCAAAGCAUGUAGAAGCGUGUUCAGGUUUGACCUCAGCAAUGGUCUUACUGUAUUCCUUUUGUUAAGAGCCUUCUUAUUUGUAGUCGAAAGUUCUCUUAGCCACAUUAAAAACAGAUAUAUUCGCUUUUAAGGAAAAACAAUCCUACCUUUCCAGUCAAAGCAACUUUCAGUGUUAACGCGAAGAUUGCCAAUGGGGUCCAUAUAUGUAUCAUGUUGCUUGAGGGUCCAAUGAUCUUCUUAGUUUUACAAUCCCUAAUAACACGUGAGUAACAAAUAACAACAAUUAAUCCUACUAAUUACUAUUGUA